rnacentral:snRNA from 1 species
AUUACGUCUCGGCUUUUUGGCUAAAUUCAAGUGUAGUAUCUGUUCUUGUCAGUUUAAUAUUUUUAUUUAUUUAAUGUUCUUUUUUUAAUUAUUUAUUUAUUUAUUUGAGAGACAGCAUGAGAGAGAGAGAGAGAGAGAGAGCAUGGGGGGAGGGUCAGAGGGAGAAGCAGACUCCCUGCUGAGCAGGGAGCCCGAC